GGGGGGGGCAAGCGUUGUUCGGAAUUACUGGGCGUAAAGGGCUCGUAGGCGGCCAACUAAGUCGGACGUGAAAUCCCUCGGCUUAACCGGGGAACUGCGUCCGAUACUGGAUGGCUUGAGUUCGGGAGAGGGAUGCGGAAUUCCAGGUGUAGCGGUGAAAUGCGUAGAUAUCUGGAGGAACACCGGUGGCGAAGGCGGCAUCCUGGACCGACACUGACGCUGAGGAGCGAAAGCCAGGGGAGCAAACGGGAUUAGAUACCCCGGUAGUCCUGGCCCUAAACGAUGAAUGCUUGGUGUGGCGGGUAUCGAUCCCUGCCGUGCCGAAGCUAACGCAUUAAGCAUUCCGCCUGGGGAGUACGGUCGCAAGGCUG
rnacentral:rRNA from 1 species